rnacentral:rRNA from 14 species
AAUAUCCUGUGAUCCGGAGAUUUCUGAAUGGGGAAACCCACCUGUCAUAAGACAGGUAUCGUAAAUUUAUUUACGAGGCAAACCGGGAGAAGUGAAACAUCUCAGUAACCCGAGGAAAAGACAUCAAUAGAGAUUCCCCUAGUAGCGGCGAGCGAACGGGGAGGAGCCGACUGAUUAUAAUUUAGAGGAAUGACUUGGAAA